GUUCAGAGAUGGGGGGAAUGAGCAGGGACAUCUCAGAGACUUUGCUGCUAAGGGACACUUCUUGCCUGAGAAGUAUCUCUAAGCCUCUAACAGGGGUCUUCCAUAACACAUAGGAAUGAUGGGGAAAAUGUCUGCAUACUGGACCGGGUUCUUUCUGCUGAACCCCUUUGGCAUAUGGUAUAAGGGAACAACAAACCCAGCAACCAGGCAGCUGCUCUCUGAGGUGCUCUCUGGCCCAAGUCUGCAGUAGCAAUAUGUUAUUUAAUCCUGGGGCAAAUCCAGCUUGUUACUUCAUGGUAGAAGCUUCCAG